rnacentral:lncRNA from 1 species
AUGGGCCGCCUGGAUGACCACGCCAAGAAGAGGAUCGUGGAGCUGCGCAAAGCCGGGCUGAGCUUUCGCAAGAUCAAGAAAGUCCUAGAGCUGGACAACAUCCGGGUGACCCCGCAGGCGGUGUACCUCUUCCUCAAGCGGAAGAACGUGGAGCCCGGCCGGCCGGCGGGAGCCGUGCUGCCCCAGCCGGCGGGCGACGGGGCGCAGCGCAAGGCAGGGGCCGGCCAGGCGGGCUGGGAGGACGAGCAGCUCUGGACCAUGCUCCAGGAAAAUGAGCCCGAGCAGGACGAGCAGGAAGCGGCGGGUCCCAAGGCCCCCGUGCUGCCCGGCGGAGGUGCCGCGGGCAGCGAGGGGCCCUGCCUCAGCGACAGCCGAGACAGCAAGGACGGCAUCAAGAUCGUCAGCGUGACCUCGCUCUGCAAGGAUGGCGGGCAGUUUGGGAAGCCUGUGCCCAUGGGACUGUCUUCAGGGACCCAAGUGGCCCCCGGGAACAGUGACGACUGCUCCGUGAACCGAUCGAGCGCUCCGGGGAGCUGCCCAGCUCUCCUGCCCCCAGCGGUCCCCCAGCAGCCACUGCCCAACCGAGGGAGGCUCUUCGUGCCCCCCGCCAGGAACCCAGCCCUGAUCGUAAAGAAGAAGAUUGUGGAUAGGGCUAUUCUCCUCCAGAAAAAGGUCAACAUUCAGAAUGGGCAGAGUCUGUCUGGCUCCACGACUGUCCUGCCUUUCCUGGUGGGAGUGCAGCCGGCCGGCCAGCCCCUGCAGCCAAGCCCAGCUGUCCUGACCACUGCAGUGAGCCACUGUGCAAAUGUCAAAGAUGCCAGCACUCAAACUGUCCUGCUGAACGUUGCGGGUCCUGGAAACCAGAACCUUGCAUGGGGGGGACCAAUGCUUCCCCCUGCUCCCAGCCCACACGCUGUUGCCGAAAAGCUGGAUGCUGUACACACAGAGAUCCAGAAACUGAGUCAGGCGAUGCACGCGGUCCUGGAGAGGCAAUGCCGCCUGGAGCGCCAGCAGGAGCACCAGCAGCGGCUGCAGCAGGAGAUGCUGAUGACGCUGCAGCAGCUCAGCUCCACAGUGAGCCACGGGACUGUGCCAGGAAACCAGCCCUGCGUCCCCUUCAGCGGCAUGGCCGAGCCCUCGCCCGCUGUGCCAAACUUCAGCCAGUUCAAGAUGGAACUCAUCUGACCUUGCGUGAUGCCGAAGUGCAGGRCUGAAGCGAGAGCAGGGAGGGAUGCCACUGUGGAAGGAUAAAAGYCAUGAAGAAGAGCAGGCUCUAAUGCUUCAGAAGCUGUAUCAGCUGCCUCAGGAUUAUGUCUGGCAUCCGGCAGAGGAAGGUCACUGCUGCAUCRCGUCUCACUCUGCUUCAGCCUUGUCGACUAAGAGGAGCUGCCUGGCAUAAGAGACAGGGCAAUAGAAAGCUGAAGCCUCACUUCUCCCACGCUGCCCAUGCUGGCUGGUACUGGAGUUGGCCAGUUGCCGAUGGACUUCAGCAGCUCAGACAGGCCGGCUACAAGUAGAGGUCAACYAGGAGGGACGCAGCAGGGAGACAGGUCCCCAGGAACAACAUGAGACUUGCUCUCAUGGGAGUUGGUAUUGUGACAGUCAAUCACACGAAUGCUUUGUACCCUCCCCCUGCAGAGCCUUGUUCAGUAAAAAUCUACAUAUGCUGUGGUUCAGAAAAGUGUGGGAUCUCUUCCUCCAUUUUACCUACACAUCCCUCCAGCAGCAACCAGGCUGGAUAGAUUUGAGGCUGCUCUAGCUGCUACCAUGCACAGAGCUGCUCAGGGUGGUCAAGCCUAUGAAGUGAGACCACCACUCUGUACACUGAGGACAUUCCUGGAGGCAUGGCAUCGGCCACCACACAGUUAGGGCUAAACCUCUCUUGUGUAGGAAACAGAUUCUUCAGCCAAGCAGCUCCCAGCCAGGUCACCCUCCCUGCCCCCAAAUUCCCAGCAAAUCUGGAGUCUGGCACGAGCCUUUGCUCCUGUUCAGUGUCCGGCCAGAGCACAGGCUGCGGUCGGAGUCUCACAGGACUGAGUGUUUAAAGGGAUAUGAACUGAGUUGUAUGCUGACAGAAGUCAUGUAUUUGUCUCUCCUCAAACCUUUUCUUCUGUAACUGGCCAGGAUGUCCUCUUGGCUUUGAUUCCCAGCAGUAAGACCUCUCACCUGUAGCGGGCUGCCGAUG